AUGUCAGAAAAUUCAGUGUGAAU
rnacentral:piRNA from 1 species